rfam:Ciona savignyi cont_8761, whole genome shotgun sequence.
GUCAUCAUGCUUUUACGGAUAAUUUCUAUAGUGUGCAACUUAAAACGUCAUCCUAAUUUGAGGACACCUUAACUACAAUGAUGAUUUAACGGGAUUUCUUCCGAGCAUUAAGCUUGAUUCGUUGACUCUUCGGAUGUUGCGAAGUAUUAAGGAAUGUUCUUGGAUUUCCAUUCGAAAAUCUAUGAGGAAGGAAUCUCCCCCUGAGUAGU